CAGUAGCCGCGGUAAUACGAGGGGGGCAAGCGUUGUUCGGAAUUAUUGGGCGUAAAGGGUGCGUAGGCGGUUUGGCAAGUCUUAUGUGAAAUCUUCGGGCUCAACCCGAAGCCUGCACGAGAAACUGCCGGGCUUGAGUAUUGGAGAGGUGAGCGGAAUUUCCGGUGUAGCGGUGAAAUGCGUAGAUAUCGGAAGGAACACCUGUGGCGAAAGCGGCUCACUGGACAAUUACUGACGCUGAGGCACGAAAGCUAGGGGAGCAAACAGGAUUAGAUACCCCAGUAGUCCCUGUCUCUUAUAC
rnacentral:rRNA from 1 species